rnacentral:pre_miRNA from 1 species
AUGUAGGGCAAUCUGUCUUUAAGUAGGGGUAAACUACUCUUACUGAAAGAAAAAAAAAAAAGGAAUCCUAGAUAGUUUUCCCUUUGAGUCAAGUGUUUUGU